GACGAACGCUGGCGGCGUGCCUAAUACAUGCAAGUUGAGCGCUGAAGGUUGGUACUUGUACCAACUGGAUGAGCAGCGAACGGGUGAGUAACGCGUGGGGAAUCUGCCUUUGAGCGGGGGGCAACAUUUGGAAACGAAUGCUAAUACCGCAUAAAAACUUUAAACACAAGUUUUAAGUUUGAAAGAUGCAAUUGCAUCACUCAAAGAUGAUCCCGCGUUGUAUUAGCUAGUUGGUGAGGUAAAGGCUCACCAAGGCGAUGAUACAUAGCCGACCUGAGAGGGUGAUCGGCCACAUUGGGACUGAGACACGGCCCAAACUCCUACGGGAGGCAGCAGUAGGGAAUCUUCGGCAAUGGACGAAAGUCUGACCGAGCAACGCCGCGGGAGUGAAGAAGGUUGUCGGAUCGUAAAACUCUGUUGGUAGAGAAGAACGUUGGUGAGGGUGGAAAGCUCAUCAAGUGACGGUAACUACCCAGAAAGGGACGGCUAACUACGUG
rnacentral:rRNA from 1 species